GGGCUGUAGCUCAGUGACAGAGCGUCUGCCUUGCAUGCAGAAGGUCCCAGGUUCAAUCCCCGGCAGCAUCU